CCUUUAUAAGGUUUGUUGAAGCUUCACAGAAAGCCACAAAGGAAAAACUGGUGCACAAAGGCAAGGUUUAACAAAUGCCUCUGACACCCAGGAAUAUGAUUGCCAAUUACUUUGUACCAGCUACAAAAGCAAUGCGAGGAGGACCCAGUGCAUGGGGCAAGCUUGCAUGUAAGGCUCUACUGCUCUGCUGCUCUGAAAUUCAGUGGACACCUUGGCGGCCUGGGCUGCUCGCGGAGGGAGUAGGCACUGGUGCUGUUCGGGCUUGAUGAGAGAUGCCUGCACCUGCACAGAUGUCACCCUCCCGGCAACUCCUUUGUCCUACACAUUCCGCCUUGACUUUCUCCAGUUGGAUAACGCACAAGGCAAGAAAUGAGCAGUUCUUGGGAGGACACACCAGAGCACACAUAACAGAGGUUAUUCGGCGUAUGCUGUGCCCAAACCACAUGCAGGAUCGGAGUCUGCUACCUUCGACGAGGCCUGGGACGCAGCAGGAUGACAUUUUCUUGUUGACUGUGCAUAUGGGCUUAUCUGAGGGCAUCCUGAGCAGACCAGCGAGGAAGGCAGUGCAACUCAGGAAGCAGCCUGGAAAAGACAUUUUCAGGCUCUGACAGAUGCGCUCUGGCAUCGCCCAC
rnacentral:lncRNA from 1 species